UAGGGAAUCUUCGGCAAUGGACGAAAGUCUGACCGAGCAACGCCGCGUGAGUGAAGAAGGUUUUCGGAUCGUAAAACUCUGUUGUUUAGAGAAGAACAAGGGUGAGAGUAACUGUUCACCCCUUGACGGUAUCUAACCAGAAAGCCACGGCUAACUACGUGCCAG
rnacentral:rRNA from 1 species